rnacentral:rRNA from 1 species
CAAGGCUUGACAUACACCGGAAAAGUGCAGAGAUGUGCUCCCCGCAAGGUCGGUGUACAGGUGGUGCAUGGUUGUCGUCAGCUCGUGUCGUGAGAUGUUGGGUUAAGUCCCGCAACGAGCGCAACCCUCGUCCUAUGUUGCCAGCGGGUUAUGCCGGGGACUCAUAGGAGACUGCCGGGGUCAACUCGGAGGAAGGUGGGGAUGACGUCAAAUCAUCAUGCCCCUUAUGUCUUGGGCUUCACGCAUGCUACAAUGGCCGGUACAAAGGGCUGCGAUACCGCGAGGUGGAGCGAAUCCCAAAAAGCCGGUCUCAGUUCGGAUUGGGGUCUGCAACUCGACCCCAUGAAGUCGGAGUCGCUAGUAAUCGCAGAUCAGCAACGCUGCGGUGAAUACGUUCCC